AGGGGGAUCGCCAAGUCAGGUUUAAGGCACCGGCCUUUGACGCCGAUAUUCCAAGGUUCGAAUCCUUGUCCCCCUACCA
rnacentral:tRNA from 1 species